GAACAAGAGAUCCAUGCUGGCUUAUGUCAAUUCUGUGCAUGUUUGACGUCUGUUGUCUGCUGCUUACCUCCGAUCCUGUCCUGACAGUUUUUUGUUUUGCUUUUAGUAAGGGGAGAUCAGUAAGACUUAUUAUAACCUAAAACCGUGUUUUGUUAAAAUACAGUUUUUGGUUGGAAUAAUCCUUUAAUAACGUUGUUAAUAUUAGGUAAUGAUGAGAUUAG